GAUGAAGAACGUAUCGAAAUGCGAUAAGUAAUGUGAAUUGCAGAAUUCAGUGAAUCAUCGAAUCUUUGAACGCACAUUGCGCCCAUUAGCAUUCUAGUGGGCAUGCCUGUUCGAGCGUCAUUUCAACCCUUAAGCCCUGUUGCUUAGCGUUGGGAGCCUACAGUACUGUAGCUCCCCAAAGUUAGUGGCGGAGUCGGUUUCACACUCUAGACGUAGUAAUUUUUUCUCGUCUGUAGUUGAGCCGGUCCCCUGCCGUAAAACACCCAAUUUAUCAAGGUUGACCUCGGAUCAGGUAGGAAUACCCGCUGAACUUAAGCAUAUCAAUAAGCGGAGGA
rnacentral:misc_RNA from 1 species